GAUGAAGAACGUAGCGAAAUGCGAUAAGUAGUGUGAAUUGCAGAAGUACCGUGAAUCAUCGAAUCUUUGAACGCAAAUUGCACUCUCUGGUAUUCCGGGGAGUAUGCCUGUUUGAGGGUCGCUUAACAAACCAUCGAUUUCGUUGCUUUUUUUUUUAAAGUGAUGUUUAUCGGAUUUGAGCCGUCUUUUUUUUUAUAUUUAAGUGGCUUAAAAUUGAUUUUUUUGGUACGAUCGAAGCGUAUUUUUAUGAUCAAUUUUUGGUUAAAGAAACGCACACGUACCGUUAUUUAUAUGAUGUAAUACGUUUGACUAUUGGAUUUAGUUCAUUCGUAUACGAUAUCUUUCAAUAUUUGACCUCAAAUCAGGUAAGAACACCCGCUGAACUUAAGCAUAUCAAUAGCGGAGGA
rnacentral:misc_RNA from 1 species